AAAACAAAAAUCAUGAAAGAUCUAUUUAACCAUAAAUGUAUGAAUUUGAUCACCACUCUUUGUAAACUCUAAUAGAAAGAUAUGAUGGUUAAAACUUUUCCAAUCAAUUAUAGGGCUAUAUUUUAGCCAUUCUAAUUCAAUCUUGGAAAUUUAAGUUAUAUACACUUUUAAAAGAAAAAUGUAUAAUAUACAGUAAUUAUUUCUAUUUAAGAGUUGUUUCUUUAGAGAAACACACAUUUCAAUAUAUCCAUGUCAACCAUAUUUAUUGUAUUUCUUCUACUCAGGGCUAGUCUAGAGUGUGUGAUCAAUAAUAUUUGCUAAAUAAAUUUUUUUAAAAAUACAUAUUUUAAUUGAUUGCUGACUAAAUAAACAUAUGGCCCACAGAUACAUCUUUGAUCAGAGGCUAGAAUUCACAAAUCAAUUUGUAGAAUCCAUAGAGUGUGGGACAGGAAACAAUGCUAAUUAGCUGCUGCUGUCUCUUUAUGCCUAAGUGUUAAUAAAUUACAUUUUGUUGCUAACGAAUAAUUCAUACUAUGGUGGUACUGGUGAUAUUGUUUUUUUUUUAAACCUGAAUUUUCUUAUAAUUCUUGAUUUUCUUAAGGCUUCGCAGCAAUAUUUCCUAUGAUGUCUAAGAAUGGGCCUUUCAGGCAUCUCUGGGAUCAAAGAGGUUAUUUCAACUUGAAAGAUGUUAGAUUCACUUAAGUAAUUUACCAGCAUCCACAGAUCACUAUGUUCUCCUUCAGAAUAAAAAGAACAAUUGGGUGAUUAUAAAUUAUAUUAAAGUAACAAACCAAAUAUUGGGAGAGGGGGCAAUGUUGAAUAGGGUUCAAAAAGGAAUUUAUAUGUGUGGACCAAUGUAUUUUUCUCUGAUUAUAUAUUUUUUUAUUGUGUAGAUAUGAAACCCUUUUCCCUUCCAUUUGACAAUUCAAAGAAAAAAGAGCUAAAUAAAAAGAAAAUUCCGAAGUUGUGAGUAUGAAUUUUAAUAGUACAAGUGUAUAUAUUUUAAAUGAUCAGUAUAAAUUUAAAAGAAACAGCUUAAUGAAAUACAAGUCAGUUUAUUUGAUAUUCAGCCUACAGCUUUCCAAAGCAGCAGUUGAACAUGUUGUUGAGUUUAUACCAUUCAUUCAUUCAUUUAUUUUUUCUUUCUUUCUUUCAGAAAAUACUGGGUGUUUGAUAUUUGUUUCACUGUGCUAGUUUCUGGGAAUGUGUAAGGAAGAGGCUGGCUGUGUGGAUGAGAGCAACUUGCUUUUUACAAUAAUUAUUUGUUAUUGUAAAUUAACAAUUUGCUCUUCUGGUAUUAUAUGGAAGUAUUUGAUCCUGUUGAUGGCACUGCCUUUGCUUUUGCAAGAUUAAAAUGAAAUGAAGUUUCUGAGAUGUUAACUCUAUUCUUGACCUCAAACAUGACACCAAGAUGACUGGAUACAAGAAGAAAAUUAAUGUCACCUCAGGAAGUAUCUCCCCCAUACUCCAUCAAGAGCACUUACGUGGCCAUAAGCACUGGCCACAUCCCCAUGCACCUGGGAACAAUCCAUUUAUUUUCUAAAACUUUAAAACUUUCUACAAACCUGAUUUUUCAAUUUUUGAUAUGUUUCUUAAAGUAUUUUAUCAAGAUUUUUUAUUUAUUUCCAAAUACUGGCUUGGAUUUUUUUCUCAUCUGAACACUGAGAAAUUCCAGGAAAAAAAACUAUAUUUGGUACUUCGUGUCUUCAAAUUUUGAUGCAAUGACUUUAUAAAUUAGCCUAUACUGAUAGUGUAAAACUGAGUUAAAAAAGGAAAAAACUUAGGCCCGUGUGGAAUAUUUACCAAUGCUUACUUUAAGGUAUAAAAAUGUGAGUAAAUGAAAGUAGAAAAACUGGGCUGAAAUGUAUCCACCACUCUUUUGGUAAUACAGUAGUAGGUAUUCAUUAUGAUUUAUUUUCCCUUGAAGCAUAUUUUGUCUUUAAGUUAUUUCGGUGUGUAAGAACAGAGUACAUUCACAUUUGUGCUUUUUUUUCCAAUAAAACUAUUGCUGCAUUGUUCGUUCUAAUAUUUAUCUCUGCAUUGAAUUGCUUCUUGAAUUUUUCUUUUUUAUUUUUAAGUUUCAUAUUCUACAUGAGAAUGUGUUUACUUCUCUACUGUGCUGCUGGGAAGUUAAAUGUAACAGUAAAACUUUAUUGAAAAGUAGAAAAUAGGAAAUUUUUCGAAAUUGAAAUUCUAUGUCUUUGUUCUUUUUGGAGAAAAGAUUUUUUUACCUAUGUGCUUUGGGGAUUUGACAUUAGUCAUUUGGUUGACCCUAGGAAAGGAUGUGAACUGAAUCCUCUUGAAUGAGAUCAUUUUUGUUGUUAAAUUUUUUGGUAUUCUUUGUGUAAAAUUGAUCUAAAAGAUUCUAUCUAUUCUGAUUGUUUUUCCCUCUAUAAGGAAGUAUAUAUAUUUUUUAAUGUUAUCAAUCCCUGUACCUAUUUGUUAACAUUUCCUUAAAUGUGUUUUCUCC
rnacentral:lncRNA from 1 species